UUAAAAAUAAUAAUAAAAAUAAACCAAGGGCCAGAGACCUAGAGACAGGGGUCCUGGAUUCAAAUGUGGCCUCAAAACACUUUCUACUUAUAUGACCUUGGGCAAGUCACUUAACCCCCUUAUCACUCUUCUGCCUUGGAACCAAUAAAUUCUAAGGUGGGAGAUAAGGAUUUAAAUUUUUUUUAACAAAAUAAAAAACUAAAUUAAAUUUUUAAAAAUUAAUAAAAUAAAAUAAAAAUCAGUCAGGGAUGUGUGUAGUUGAAGAUUUUUCUGACCGACUCAUGGUCAUUUCCAUGAACAAGAAGAAUUGGACCCCACUGUAAUUCAGCGAUGCUCUCAGGAGCCUGGGAAUACAGGGCUUUUUGAUUGAUUGAUGGGGUUUUAAGACACAAAUCAUAAAUCCCAUCCAAAGCUUCUGAUUGGGUGCUUAGCUCCUUUAUCUUAAGUGCCUUCCUUCUCUGGCCCCUUUAGUCUCUGCUAGAAUGACAGGAGGUCCUUUCUCCUCCUCAUCUUGCCACCAGCCCUGCCAUGGGGGAUACCCUCCUCACAUGCAGUGCCAGUCCUCUGCUUUAAUAGGCUAUGACUUACUUCCUCGCCCUGUGCCUCAUGCCCCAGGGUGGCAUUUGAACCUUGCCUGCCCUUUUGCCUUUGCCACUGAAUGCAUGGUCCCUAAGGGUUCCUGACAGUUCUGCCCAGGCACCAAAUGGCCCUCCUCAAAGCUUGCCCUCUUGGUGAAUCCUGGUUAGAUUCGGGGGCUUUGGGGGUCUUGUUUCUGCUGACUAGAAUGCCUAACAUAAUCAGGUUUGGGGAAUUCCUUUCAGUCAACACAUUUAUUAGGCUGCAACUGUCUAACAGAGCCUGUGCUCAAUACUGGGGUCAUAAAUAAUGGCCAAGCCCCGGGAGAGACAAGAGGGGCAUGUGAGUGUCUGUGCAGGGGUUUGUCUGUCUUGUUUUUCCAAUGUAGGGAUGACUUCUGGUGUCCCCAGAACUUUUCAAGGGUUUAUUGGAGAGGGAAGGAGUUGGGGUUUGCUCUUAGCCCAAGUGCUCUUCUCUCCAUGGUGAACUAGCUUUGUUUUUUAGUUGUUUUGCAUGCAUUUAUGUUCAUUGUAGGAAUGUUUCUAUAAACAAGCUUUCACUAUAAAUUAGCUAGAACUUUAAAAUCUGUGGACACCGUGUAAAAUUUGGAAUGUAUCCUAUGUAAAACGUGUGAAUGCUUUAGGUGGUGGCGUUACAUUAAAAAAAAAGUCACCAUCCAGAAUCGAAGGUAGCGGAAGGGCGGACGUGGGAAUACAGUCUUUGGAGCUAAAUAGGAUAUUUAAGUUGCUGUCUACAUGAUGGCCUGCAUUAACAUGUAUAUAAUUUAGAAAGGGGGAAGAAAAGUAAUACAGUGGGGAAAGAGUACAUAGAAAAUUAUUGGAUUUAUUGAUGACGGGAAGGAGAGUGGGAAAGGGUGGAAUCUAAAAGGUUUUACCCACUAAAUCAAUACCCUCUAGCUCCCACUAAACUAAAAGCCAAGUUCCUAAAGGCAAGUCCAACAAGGAAUCAAAAUCCCACCGAUGGCCUCAUCAAAGUAGGAAGGUCAGCUCUCCAGUCGCUGUCCAGCAGAAGACUGAAGAUAACAAAAGCCCAGAAGCUUGAUGGAUGGGUUUCAAGACGUCUCAGCCACACACCUUUUCUCCUUCACCUCCCAGGUUCAGAGUGACAGUUGGGGAACUGUUCUAGGAGUUCUGACUCAACCAGGCUCCAGAAGAUUCUGGUCUCAAGCCCCUGUCAAUCAUCUCUUGCAACCUUUACUUCCCAUUGCUACCCCUGACAUAAUGAAAGUAGAUUUCCUUGCACAGUAUAGGAGAUAUACUAAUACCUUCAGAAAUAAGAGGAUAGCACGGCAUGAUUUGAUCCCUGGACUUUUUCAGUGGUGCUUCAGAGUUUGAGUCAGAAGACUUGAGUUCAAAUCCUCCCUCAUACAGUGACUACAAACUACAUCACCCUUGACAAAUCUCUUGAUCUUCUUGUGCCUCUGUUUCUUCACCUGUAAAAUUAAAAAAUAGUAUCUAUCACUCUAACGUCAUAUGAAAAUGUCAGCUUUUAUCCUAUUGAAAGGCAGGCAAGGGAACAUGAUGGCUAGAGAGCUGGCUUUGAAGCUAGGAAGACCUACGUUUAAAUCCUGCCUCUGCCAUGUACUGACCAGGUAACACAGGGCAAAUCUCAGUGCUCUGCGCAGUUGUCUAUGACUGUGAAUUGCAGAAAAGAUCCCCAAAUGCCCUGGCAGAAGGAGUUCCCUUACCAAUGAACCCCAGUUCUCCUUCUUCCCUAUCUCUUCUAUUACAUGGGAAACAGAGAGGUUAAGGUAGCUUAGCCCUGCCUCCAAGAGCCAUUAUUCAUGCCGUCUUUUUCCUGGUGGUUUUAUUAUUGUAAGCAUUUGUUACUCAGAAGGGAUCUUACAGAACAAGUUCUUCAGGAUAAGGUAGAACGGGCUGCUAGCCCACUCCUCUGGCUGGGGGCAAAUGGAAAGCAUGCCCAGUCAGGAGUCAGCUGCCACGGGGAGUUUCACAGCAGUGGGGCCAGUCCAGCUUUUAAAGCCGAGCACCGUCUCCUACCUAACAGGAUGUUCUCAGGUUUCCGUAAUAUCUUGGCCGGCAAGGGAUACGUGUGGAGUUAAAGCUAUUACGGAGAACCAACCAUCCCAUACGUGCUGUUUGUCAGCCUUCUCUCGGGCUCUGUCCAGUUCGGCCAAGAAGAAGCACUGACUUCCCCAGGGCUCUUCUCUCUCUCUCUCUCUCUCUCUCUCUCUCUUUUUGUUUUAAACUCUUACCCUCCCUCUGAGAAUGAAUGCCGUGCAUCACUCCCAAGACAGACAAGCAGUAAGGGCUGGGCAAUGGGGGUUAAGUGAUUUGCCCAGGGUCACAGCUAGGAAGUGUCCGGGGUCAGAUUUUACCAGAACUCCUAAAAGGAUUUGUCUUGUCGGAAGUACUUUGAGAAAAAUCCAGUUUGAUUCAAUACGGUUUAACAAGCAUUUAUUAAAGGAUCAAAAGAGGCGAUAUUUGUAGUAGUGGUCUACAUCAGUGGUGAUUUCCCUCCUCUUCCCUUCAUUCUUCCUAUGAGCAAACUGUAUUGUGCAAAAUGCCAGGGAGAGAAGGAAAAACAAUGAAAACCAGUCACUGCCCUGGAGGAGCUUCCAUUCCACAGGGAUACAGUUUGUCAGCACAUCAGGAAACAAAAGGAAGGGGGGGUAAGCACUCACUGGGCUUGACCAAGAACUUUCUAUGGGAGGUGACCCUUGAGGAAAUGAGAGAUGAAGUGGAGAGGAGAAUAAAUGUCAGCUGUGAUCUAUAAAGACCGAAAACUAGGAGAAGGAAUGCUCUUUGGGGGGGGCUGGCUAGUCAGUUUGGUAGAAUAGAGACUAUGUGAAGGAAAAAGGAGCAUGGAGCAAGACUAUGAAGGGCUAUAAAUGCCAAGAUGGCGGCAGCUAGGGAGCUCAGUGGAUUGAGCGCCAAGCUUAGAGACCAGAGGUCCAGAAUUCAAAUGUGGCCUCAGACACUUCCUAGUUGGAUGAUCCUGGACAAGUCAAGAAUUAACCCUCAUUGAAUAGAAACACAGAAGAAAAACAACUGCUUGAUCACAUGGGUUGAUGGGGAUAUGAUUGGGAAUAGAGACUAAAUGAUCACCCCAGUGCAAAUAUCAAUAAUAUGGAAAUGGGUCUUGAUUGAUGACACAUGUAAAACCCAGUGGAACUGCACAUCAGCUAUGGGGGGUGGGGGGAGGAGGAGGGGAGGGAAAGAACAUGAAUCUUGUAACCAUGGAAAAAAUACUAAAUUAACUAAUUAAAUAAAAUUAAAAAAAAAAAAAGAAUUAACUCUUAUUGCCUAGCCCUAACUGUAUUUCUGCCUUGGAAACAAUACACAGUAUUGAUUCUAAGAUGGAAGGCUUUGGAAAAAAAGGGCUACAAAUAGUAGGUCAGAAGAAGGAUGCUGAGGGACCUGGAGUAAAGUAGUAAUUUUGUAGUGGUUUUACUUCCCUCUGCGGAACCCCAGUUUAUCCUCUCCCUAUCUGCAGAACAUUCUGCUUUCUUCAGCAAUGUUCUCAGCCCAUCAGCUGUAAAAUUGUUACUUUGUGGUUGACAGUUAUCUCACACAUGUUCUCACCCAGUUUCCCAAAAGCCAUGGGAUGGAGGAGUCAGUUGGGUUUCCCACAAUCAAGAUGUAUCAAAAAUACUUGGUAUGCCUUGGAGGAAGCGUACGAGAUAAAAGAGAUACUCAUUGUUACACUGUCCCAUCUGAGAGUUCUAGCUUUCUGGGAGUCUGCACACAGUCAGUGAGAAAGAGUAGCCACAGCCACACGCCUCCUGUGUCACAGGCAAACAGCAAGUGACAGAGCAGGUGCCUAGAAGACUCCGAGUCUAAAUUUGCCCAGAGUCCCCGAGCUGAUCGGAAGAAGCGAGCGAGCACCACAGCUGAACGCCAAGUUUUCCAUUCCUAGGUCCACUCUUCCCGCGGCAGAUCCACUGCUUUUGCAGAGGAUAAAAGAAGCCCUUUUCAUUUGAGGAUUUCACACAGCUACUUUAUAAACAUACGCCACCACGGGAUGCUCACUGACCCUUCACCAUACGGAAAAGCCGGAACAUGAAGAUAUCUGCGAAUUCCGUCCAUACUCCUGCC